rnacentral:lncRNA from 1 species
AUUAAGUUAAUAAGUAUAUUUUGAAUUUCAUUUACAUUUAUAUAGAUAAUCUACCAAGCGAAUUGAGGUUUUUCAUUUACUGUCUUAAACUCAAUGAUGUAUAAGUUGUAUAUGAUGUAUAAGUAGUAUAGGUACAAUAUAUAUACUUUUCAAAUUGCCCGCCAAAUCCAGAGAACUGUCAAUUGUCUAGAAGCUCCGAAGCAAAGUAUUUGGUUUUCUCUAGACGCGUCUUGGGAGUGUCAAUAAGAAUGGCGGCGUGAGUUUUCUAAUUAUAUAAUUAAAAUAAGUUAUUUCCAGUUGCAUAGUUCCAUUAUUGUUGUUGCAAGUUAUAGAAAGUUGAGUGAAUUAAAGUGACGGAAUAAUGAAACUGUAAGAAAAAGGAUCUCACACCGCCAUUCGGGAGAAAUCUAUUAUUACCGCUGGUAAACCCUCUCUAACACCGAGAGCAGACACUUCCAAGAUUCAGUCAACCAGGGAACAAGUCUAAGGAUACAGUCCCAUUUGUUUUGUUUUGGUUCAUCAUCCUGCAUCCUCCGAGGGACAGGUUCAUUAGCUAUUGGGCAGUUGCACCACUUCGGUGUUAACUUCGUACCACGGAUUUGGUACCACACACCAAGGAUCAGUGUUGGAACGCGUGAAAAGGGGUUUGUUUUGGGGGACAAUUAUUCAUACUAGUUAAAGACUUAUACUGUUUUUUUUUUGUAAUAUUCAGGACAUUUAAGUUAGAUACACAUAAGUUCAUAAUUUAAUUACACAUAAAUAUUUUUUUCUUUCUCUACAAAUUUAAGUACAUUUUAGUUAUAAUAACCAUGCCUAACAGUUAGUACUGUUCCCCCAAAUUUAUAUAAUUCUUGGUAGAAGUUUCGAGCUCGAAGAUUCUCCCCAUACAUGUUCUUUCCCCUUGGUUCGUAUUAAUUUUAGACUUGUUUUCUCAGUUAAUUUAAAAAUAAUAUUAGUUCAAUUCACCUAAAUUUAAAAUCAUUCAACUUAUUUCAUAAUUUUUCAAUUUGUAUUAGAUUUUUGUAAAUAUUAUUUAACGUUAACUAUUAAUUUUUUUAUAUUAUAUUUGAAUAAAUCCCUAGUACCCAUCCCCUCAGGAAGGUACUAGUUUUACUUGCGAUUAUUAUUUAGAACCACUAGUCAGAAAAGGAUCUUUUGUAUCCAGUACUAAGUUGGUUCAUUUAGGGACUUGUUACCCGUCAACACAUUGAGAGUUGUAAAAUAUAUAUUAUUUACAUUAGGUAUUUUCCUUAUUCUAUUAUCAGGUAGUAUUCAAUUAGGGUGUACGUAUUAAAAUCGUACAAGUGUUAUUUGGUGAAGGGUUCAUACUAAUCUAGGUGUAAGUUGUACUUUCUGUAUUAGAGGUACCCUUAUUCAGAUUUUCUAACCUUAUUAAGAUUAUUCUUAGAUCACAUUUGUGUGAUAAUUUUUUAAUUGACUUUCACUAGUAUCAUUUUUUUGUCAUGUUAGAGUCACAGACUAGUUACUUGUCUUAACUCGGAGAUUGUGAACAUCUAGUAGUUAAAUUUAAUAAAUAUAUAUUUAUUGUG